rnacentral:lncRNA from 1 species
CAAUAAAAAGGGCAUGUUUUCAAGUGGGUUAGUACUGUGGGUAAUAGACUUAAUCCCUCUGGAGAAUUUUGGGUACCAGUGUAAAAUUCAUGCCUCUGAGUUACUCUACCAGAGUAGGCUCUGUUCCACAAGACUUCUCCCACUUCAGAUGUCAGUCACAAAUGGUGAGUCCCAGGUUACUCACGCUUCUGUCAAACUUGGCUACAAGUUGGGCAUUCCCAAGACCCCUUCCUUACAUUCAAUAAUUUGCUAUAAUGGCUCUAAUUAUUGAACUUGACUGAGUGAAGGGCUGGCUGAUAUUGGUGGAUCCCUGAGGUCAGAGCUCAGUUGAUUCCCUAAAAACCAUUGAGUAAUUUCCCUCAAAAGAAGAUUAGGUUAAAGAGUAAGUUUGAGGUGCAUAGAGGGAAACUUUGUGGGAGGGAAAACAGAAGAGAAAUAACACCAUUACCCCAAUCUAUUUCUGAUAAAUCAGCAUAGAAAACCCAUAAUGUUGUAAUUCUAUUAUCAAUGGAUGAUAGAGAAGCAUAUUACCACAAAACAAGGAUGAUGAAGGAAAGAUAUAAAGGGGAGAUAUAGUGAUGUCUGUUUUGGCUUUUAAAUCAAAUUCCACAAUAGGACUACAUAAGAACCAAUUUGAAUGCUUACCACAAAUUGGUAUCUCUGCUUACAUAUUCUCUUUUUACCACUUUCCUACUGGUAUCUGAUUCUUUUAACAGUGUACAUACAGGGGCCAGGCACUUUGGGAGGCUGGGGCGGGUGGAUCGCUUGAGCCCAGGAGUUUGAGACCAGCCUGGGCAACAUGGUGAAACCCCAUCUCUAUUUCCUUAAAAAUUGAAAAGUGAAAAGUAAAAAUUAAAAAACAAAUUUUAGAAAGUGUAUGUACAGUGUCAGGGAAAGGGGAAAUUUAAGGAAGAAACAUGCAAAUAUUGA